UUUCUGUUUAUGAUUAUUACUAACAUGUAUAUGAAUAAAUAACUUUGAUUCAGGGAAAGGGUGUUUACCAAUUUGUUGACAAGUAUGGUGCCAACGUCGAUGGAUACAGUCCUAUCUACAACACCAAUGACUGGUCUCCAAGCGGUGAUGUCUACGUUGGCGGUACUACUGGGUUGGCAAUCUGGGCUGUGACCCUAGCUGGUCUUCUUGCAGUGGUGCAUUACUUGUCUACAACACAAGUGCCUUGGUUCAGUAGAAUUCUUCUCUUGUUAUUAUAGUUUUGAUUGUAUCAUACCCUGUAUCUCCCUCUCAUGUACUUGUCUUACCUAACUCUGUAAACGGUCUCAGAUACGUCCGUGAAUCCUUUGUGUGUAAUGCUUUUACCAUAUCUAUAAACUGUUGCAAUUGACGUCUGUGCUGCA